AUUGAACGCUGGCGGCAGGCCUAACACAUGCAAGUCGAACGAGUGGCGGACGGGUGAGUAAUGUCUGGGAAACUGCCUGCUGGCGUGGGAUAACUACUGGAAACGGUAGCUAAUACCGCAUACCAUCGGAUGUGCCCGGAGGGGCUUGGCUUGUUGGUGGGGGAACGGCGCACCAGGGCGACGAUCCCUAGCUGGUCUGAGAGGAUGACCAGACACACUGGAACUGAGACACGGUCCAGACUCCUACGGGAGGCAGCAGUGGGGAAUAUUGCACAAUGGGCGCAAGCCUGAUGCAGCCAUGCCGCGUGUAUGAAGAAGGCCUUCGGGUUGUAAAGUACUUUCAGCGGGGAGGCGUUACCCGCAGAAGAAGCACCGGCUAACUCCGUGCCAGCAGCCGCGGUAAUUC
rnacentral:rRNA from 1 species